AGUGAACGCUGGCGGUAGGCCUAACACAUGCAAGUCGAACGGCAGCACAGGAGAGCUUGCUCUCUGGGUGGCGAGUGGCGGACGGGUGAGGAAUACAUCGGAAUCUACUCUGUCGUGGGGGAUAACGUAGGGAAACUUACGCUAAUACCGCAUACGACCUACGGGUGAAAGCAGGGGAUCUUCGGACCUUGCGCGAUUGAAUGAGCCGAUGUCGGAUUAGCUAGUUGGCGGGGUAAAGGCCCACCAAGGCGACGAUCCGUAGCUGGUCUGAGAGGAGGAUCAGCCACACUGGAACUGAGACGCGGUCCAGACUCCUACGGGAGGCAGCAGUGGGGAAUAUUGGACAAUGGGCGCAAGCCUGAUCCGGCCAUACCGCGUGGGUGAAGAAGGCCUUCGGGUUGUAAAGCCCUUUUGUUGGGAAAGAAAUCCAGCUGGCUAAUACCCGGUUGGGAUGACGGUACCCAAAGAAGAAGCACCGGCUAACUUCGUGCCAGCAGCCGCCGUAA
rnacentral:rRNA from 1 species